rnacentral:rRNA from 1 species
AUGAAAUGGAAGGAAACAAAUACCGGUCCUUUCUCCCCAACUAUCUGCAAUUCAUCGGAGCUGCUAUCUCCCACACUCCCCUUGUCCUCCCCGAUGGUAAUCGCCUUCUCAGGGUCACCAUCUAGAACCACACAAUCAUCAUCAUCCUCAUCAUCACCACCACCGCCCCCGCCGCCGCCGCCAGGGUUGGCCUUCUUCUGUGGCGGCGAGAACUCACCCAUCACCACAAGAUCAAAGAAAUCGUCUCCAUUUGGCUCAUCAUCAUUCAAAAGCUUCCCAAGCCAGUCGUCAACUGGCUUCCUGGGCAUGGGAAGGUCCUCCUCGUCGGAGCUGAUCUCCACAAAAUCCACGACCGACCCCAUCCAGCCCCCCGAACCCUAA